rnacentral:lncRNA from 1 species
ACUAAUUUGGGCCAAAUGCAAUAACCUCAACUUUUUGGGCUAUGUUGCAAAACACAAACUUUUGAGGUUACUUUGUAAGAACACAAAAGUCCACUACUUCAUGUAAUUACAACUAGAACCCAAAAAAUUCAUCAAAUACAAAAACUUCAUUAAAGGAGCAAAACAAUUUGUCCUUUAGUGAUUUUGGGCCUUUACGUAAAAACGUAAACUUUCGAGUCAAAGUACAAAUACAUAAAAGUAUCAAAACUUUAUGUAAUUACAUAAAAGCCCCAAAAGUACCCUACAUGUAGGGUGGCCAGUCAUGGUAGUGUGAGGGAGUGGUUUUUUGAUAAAAAAUAAUGUUAUAAAGUCAUGCAAGUUGAAAAUGAUGGGUUAUGGGUGGUGUGAAAAAGUAGGUAUAUGUGUGUAAGAAAAAAGUACCAAUUAUGUACAAAAAAUUCAAACACUAUCAACAUUUCAAUCACCUUUUCAAAUAAAUGUCUUGUUGAUAGAAAAGUCACACCAACCAACACAAAACAAAGACUUUAUGUAAUCAACCAAAAACUUUGAAUCAAAAACACCAAACUUUUUGUUCUUGGUAAGAACAUCAAGAACAUUGAAGAUCACACAUGAAAACUCAUAAGAGCUCCAUGAAUGUUUUCACUCAAUAAAAUUCAAAAUUUCAGUACUCAAAAGGGGGUUAACAUAGGGUACUUAGGGGUUCCAAAAGUCACCUUAAAGCACUUUUAACAAGACAAACAAGAACUCAAAAAACCACCCUUUGGAUUUGGCCGAAUUUCCCCAAAAACAUGGCACCAAAUUUUAGCUCCAAAAUUCAUGCUCAUAUGAACUACAUCUAUAACAUUUGAGAUGGCAAAUUUUCUAAAUAAAUUUACAUUCAAAGAAGCAAGAAUAAAGCUUGUAACAAUUACAACAUUCAAAACAAGACUAUA